CUUCAGCCUUUGAUUUUAAUCGGUAAAGAUGUUUGGCGUGGCUUCAUCUUAAAGUGGAGUAUCAGUUAUAUUCAGACAGUGUUUGAUUUGAACCGAUGGUCAAGGAUAGUGUUCGGAUCAGUCGGAUUCUUGUGGUGAUUUUAAUCCGAGAAUAUUCCAGAAGCCGAGUGUGAUUAGCUUGAGCUCGAGUAUAGUCUUCCUUAGCCAAUCUCAUGGAAUCAAAGGUGAGUCUAGAUAGAUGAUUGAUGAGUAGUGAAUGAAUAUUUCUUGACUGAACGUACUGAUUGUAGAUGAUUGAUAGGCUUUGUCUCUUGAUCAAUAUUGAAUUGGUAAAGUGUUUACUUAGUGUAAACACUUAUUAAAUAUUUAUGAAUGAUCAUAGAGGUUUAUUCUAAACCUUAGUACUUGUUCUCAAGUACUAAUACAUAUGUAUAGUAUUAAAUAUAAUUAAGUAUGGAAGUAUUAAUCAUGUGAAGUCUUAUUAUAAACCUGUCUUCCAAAUUAUUCCCGUAUGAAUGAUGAUUACCGUGAAUUGGUCCUGCGAUAUGGAACAAGGUCACGAAGACACGAUGAUGGGGUCGCACCCUGGAGGCCAUGUAACUGCAUGCAGUGUUAGAUGUUCUAUCUUUGAAUAUCUGAUGGUGAUGCUAACUCGCUAGACUCGUUUAGCCUUUGUGGUUUCUCGGGUCUGGUAUAUAUAUAUAUAUAUAUGAUUAUAUGAAUGAUAUGAGAGACGGGAAUAGGAAGUGAGGUAUAUGAUUAGAUUCACAAUGAUGGAAGGAUAUGCCUUAUAUAUAAAUAUUCAGUUAUGGAAUAUAUUUCCACUGCAU